rnacentral:rRNA from 1 species
UCGUAGAGUGAGUCGCUGGAUCAGGAAAUCCUAGCAUGGAUGACCAGGCGUACGAGGUGAGUAACGCGUGGGCAAUCUGCCCUUCACUCUGGGACAAGCCCUGGAAACUGGGUCUAAUACCGGAUAACACUCUGUCCCGCAUGGGACGGGGUUGAAAGCUCCGGCGGUGAAGGAUGAGCCCGCGGCCUAUCAUCUUGUUGGUGGGGGGAUGGCCUACCAAGGCGACGACGGGUAGCCGGCCUGAGAGGGCGACCGGCCACACUGGGACUGAGACACGGCCCACACUCCUACGGGAGGCAGCAGUGGGGAAUAUUGCACAAUGGGCGAAAGCCUGAUGCAGCGACGCCGCGUGAGGGAUGACGGCCUUCGGGUUGUAAACCUCUUUCAUCAGGGAAGAAGCGAAAGUGACGGUACCUGCAGAAGAAGCGCCGGCUAACUACGUGCCAGCAGCCGCGGUAAUACGUAGGGCGCAAGCGUUGUCCGGAAUUAUUGGGCGUAAAGAGCUCGUAGGCGGCUUGUUGCGUCGGUUGUGAAAACCCGGGGCUUAACCCCGGGUCUGCAGUCGAUACGGGCAGGCUAUAGUGUGUAGGGGAGAUAGGGAAUUCCUGGUGUAAUGAUGAAAUGCGCAGAUAUCUGGAGGAACACCGGUGUGCAAAGGCGGAUCUCUGGGCCUUACAGACUCUGAGGAGCGAAUGCGUGRGGAGCGAACAGGAUUAAAUACCCUGGUAGUCCACGCUGUAAACGUUGGAAAACUAGGUGUUAGGACGUUGUUCGUCGUCGGAGCCGCAGCUAACGCAUUAAGUUCCCAGCAUGGGGAGUACGGCCGCAAGGCUAAAACUCAAAGGAAUUGACGAGGGCCCGCACAAGCAGCGGAGCAUGUGGCUUAAUUGUAUGCAACGCGAAGAACCUUACCAAGGCUUGACAUACACCAGAAAGCAUCAGAGAUGGUGCCCCCCUUGUGGUCGGUGUACAGGUGGUGCAUGGCUGUCGUCAGCUCGUGUCGUGAGAUGUUGGGUUAAGUCCCGCAACGAGCGCAACCCUUGUUCUGUGUUGCCAGCAUGCCCUUCGGGGUGAUGGGGACUCACAGGAGACUGCCGGGGUCAACUCGGAGGAAGGUGGGGGGGACGUCAAGUCAUCAUGCCCCUUAUGUCUUGGGCUGCACACAUGCUACAAUGGCCGGUACAAAGAGCUGGGAUGCCGCGAGGCGGAGCGAAUCUCUAAAAGCCGGUCUCAGUUCGGAUUGGGGUCUGCAACUCGACCCCAUGAAGUCGGAGUUGCUAGUAAUCGCAGAUCAGCAUUGCUGCGGUGAAUACGUUCCCGGGCCUUGUACACACCGCCCGUCACGUCACGAAAGUCGGUAACACCGGAAGACCGGGGUCCAGUCACUCCAGCAUGGAGCCAG